GGAGGAAAGUAGGGGAUCGCAAGACCUUGCGCUUUUGGAGCGGCCGAUGUCUGAUUAGCUAGUUGGUGAGGUAAAGGCUUACCAAGGCGUCGAUCAGUAGCUGGUCUGAGAGGACGACCAGCCACACUGGGACUGAGACACGGCCCAGACUCCUACGGGAGGCAGCAGUGGGGAAUUUUGGACAAUGGGGGAAACCCUGAUCCAGCCAUGCCGCGUGAGUGAAGAAGGCCUUCGGGUUGUAAAGCUCUUUCAGCCGGAACGAAACGGUCACGGUUAAUACCCGUGACUACUGACGGUACCGGAAGAAGAAGCACCGGCUAACUACGUGCCAGCAGCCGCGGUGAUACGUAGGGUGCGAGCGUUAAUCGGAAUUACUGGGCGUAAAGCGUGCGCAGGCGGUUUUGUAAGUCAGAUGUGAAAUCCCCGGGCUUAACCUGGGAACUGCGUUUGAAACUACAAAGCUAG
rnacentral:rRNA from 1 species